rnacentral:rRNA from 1 species
ACAGGGAUUGCCCUAGUAACGGCGAGUGAAGCGGCAACAGCUCAAAUUUGAAAUCUGGCGUCUUUGGCGUCCGAGUUGUAAUUUGCAGAGGGCGCUUUGGCAUUGGCAGCGGUCCAAGUUCCUUGGAACAGGACGUCACAGAGGGUGAGAAUCCCGUACGUGGUCGCUAGCCUUUACCGUGUAAAGCCCCUUCGACGAGUCGAGUUGUUUGGGAAUGCAGCUCUAAAUGGGAGGUAAAUUUCUUCUAAAGCUAAAUACUGGCCAGAGACCGAUAGCGCACAAGUAGAGUGAUCGAAAGAUGAAAAGCACUUUGGAAAGAGAGUUAAAAAGCACGUGAAAUUGUUGAAAGGGAAGCGCUUGCAGCCAGACUUGCCUGUAGUUGCUCAUCCGGGUUUUUACCCGGUGCACUCUUCUAUAGGCAGGCCAGCAUCAGUUUGGGCGGUUGGAUAAAGGUCUCUGUCAUGUACCUCUCUUCGGGGAGAACUUAUAGGGGAGACGACAUGCAACCAGCCCGGACUGAGGUCCGCGCAUCUGCUAGGAUGCUGGCGUAAUGGCUGUAAGCGGCCCGUCUUGAAACACGGACCAAGGAGUCUAACAUCUAUGCGAGUGUUUGGGUGUCAAGCCCGAGCGCGUAAUGAAAGUGAACGGAGGUGGGAACCUUUCGGGGUGCACCAUCGACCGAUCCUGAUGUCUUCGGAUGGAUUUGAGUAAGAGCAUAGCUGUUGGGACCCGAAAGAUGGUGAACUAUGCUUGAAUAGGGUGAAGCCAGAGGAAACUCUGGUGGAGGCUCGCAGCGGUUCUGACGUGCAAAUCGAUCGUCAAAUUUGGGCAUAGGGGCGAAAGACUAAUCGAACUAUCUAGUAGCUGGUUCCUGCCGAAGUUUCCCUCAGGAUAGCAGUAACGUUUUCAGUUUUAUGAGGUAAAGCGAAUGAUUAGAGGCAUGGGGGUUGAAACAACCUU